GUGUCAGCCGCCGCGGUAAGACAGAGGUGGCGAGCGUUGUUCGGAUUUAUUGGGCGUAAAGCGAACGCAGGUGGUUUGGUAAGUCAGAGGUGAAAUUCCGCAGCUUAACUGCGAAACUGCCUUUGAUACUGCCUUUCUAGAGUGCAUGAGGGGGAAGCGGAAUUCCGAGUGUAGAGGUGAAAUUCGUAGAUAUUCGGAGGAACACCGGUGGCGAAGGCGGCUUCCUGGCAUGUAACUGACACUCAUGUUCGAAAGCGUGGGGAGCAAACAGGAUUAGAAACCCUGGUAGUCC
rnacentral:rRNA from 1 species